GCUGGUAUGAAUGGUUAGACGGAGAGUUGACUGUCUCUUCAAAAUUUUAAGAAUUUAAAUUCUAGGUUAAAAUGCCUAGAUAUUAUUGAAAGACGAGAAGACCCUAGCGAGCUUUAUUUUUAACGCUAGAAAUAAGUAGAUGUUUAAACUUUUGUUGGGGCGACUGAGGAGAUGGAGCUUCCUUUAUAAAAUGAAAAAUAAUGGUUAAGGAUCCAGUGUAAUUACUGAAAAACAGGGGAGCUACCGUAGGGAUAACAGCGUAAUCCUUUUAGAGAGUUCUUAUCGAAAAAAGUGUUUGCGACCUCGAUGUUGGACUAGGAUAUCCUAAAGGUGUAGAGGCUUUUAAGGGUUGGUCUGUUCGACCAAUAAAAUCCUACAUGAUCUGAGUUCAAACCGGA
rnacentral:rRNA from 1 species